CUACGGGUGGCUGCAGUGGGGAAUAUUGGACAAUGGGGGAAACCCUGAUCCAGCAAUGCCGCGUGUGUGAAGAAGGCCUGCGGGUUGUAAAGCACUUUCGGUUGGGAGGACUGCUUCUAGCACUAAUAUUGUUGGUAGUUGACGUUACCUUCAGAAGAAGCACCGGCUAACUCCGUGCCAGCAGCCGCGUAAUACGGAGGGUGCAAGCGUUAAUCGGAAUUACUGGGCGUAAAGCGCGCGUAGGCGGCUGAAUCAGUCGGGUGUGAAAGCCCCGGGCUUAACCUGGGAACUGCAUCCGAUACUGUCUAGCUUGAGUAAAGGAGGGGAGAGUGGAAUUCCACAUGUAGCGGUGAAAUGCGUAGAUAUGUGGAGGAACACCAAUGGCGAAGGCAGCUCUCUGGACUGAUACUGACGCUGAGGUGCGAAAGCGUGGGGAGCAAACAGGAUUAGAUACCCGCGUAGUC
rnacentral:rRNA from 1 species